UGAAGGUAUCUGGUGAAGAGACAAAGAGU
rnacentral:piRNA from 1 species